rnacentral:sRNA from 1 species
UGCUGACGUCUAUGGGCAACGGUAACCAC